UACGUAGGGCGAAGCGUUGUCGGAUUUACUGGGCGUAAAGAGCGCGCAGGCGGUCGCGGCAAGUCGCGUGUGAAAGCCCCCGGCUCAACUGGGGAGGGUCACGCGAUACUGCUCGACUCGAAGGCAGGAGAGGGAAGUGGAAUUCCCGGUGUAGUGGUGAAAUGCGUAGAGAUCGGCAGGAACACCCAGGGGGAAACCAGUCGACUGGGCAUCUACUGACGCUGAGGUGCGAGAGCGUGGGGAGCGAACCGG
rnacentral:rRNA from 1 species